UACGUAGGGGGCAAGCGUUGUCCGGAUUUACUGGGCGUAAAGAGCGUGUAGGCGGCCAAGCAGGUCCGUUGUGAAACUGGAGGCUUAACCUCCAGACGUCGACGGAAACCGCGCGGCUAGAGUCCGGAAGAGGAGAGUGGAAUUCCGUGGUGUGAGCGGUGAAAUGCGCAGAUAAUCAGGAAGAACACCAAUGGCGAAGGCAGCAUCUCUGG
rnacentral:rRNA from 1 species